UUUGUUUAUUACGUUUUCUUGUUGUUCAGCUCAUUUGCUGUUGUACCUUAACACAGAAUUUGAUUUGAUUUUUAUUUUAUUUGUUAUUAAGUAUAUGUAUGUGCAAUUAGAAUUUAAAGUGGUCAACAACUUGACAUCGUGAACUCCGAUUGUUCUAUACUUAUAUAUGUUUAUGUUCAAUUUGCGAGGGCAGGCGAUAGGAGGUCUUGCAAUGUUUAAGAUUCUUCUAAAGGUCUGGGGAGCAAACAAGAGAGACUAAAUUUGAACUGCAUAAGAAUAAUGAAGGUGAUGGAAGAUCAUGCCAAGUUCAACAUACUUCUUCAGCUGAAGAGGGGAGACAAAGAAGAGAAAUAUAAAGUCGAAGUGCACAAGAACAAUGAAGGUGCCUACAAUCUGAAUCAGAUGGACGCGCAGGACACCUAAAUAAAUGCUUUGUAGCAUCCCAAUCUUAUAAGAACUGGGUGUAUAAUACAUGCUUUGCUUUCGUUGCUAUUAGUCUUUCUUUUUAUGCCUUGAACUCCUGAUACAUUCUUCCCUAAAAAUCAAUACCAGCUUACCAAGUGUAUUUCAUGUAU